GACGAACGCUGGCGGCGUGCUUAACACAUGCAAGUCGAACGGUGAAGCGCCUUCCUUUUUGGUGGGUGUGGAUGAGUGGCGAACGGGUGAGUAACACGUGAGUAACCUGCCCCCUUCUUCUGGAUAACCGCAUGAAAGUGUGGCUAAUACGGGAUAUUCUGGGUCUGUCGCAUGAUGGGUCUGGGAAAGAUAUUGUUUCGGUGGGGGAUGGGCUCGCGGCCUAUCAGCUUGUUGGUGGGGUGAUGGCCUACCAAGGCGGUGACGGGUAGCCGGCCUGAGAGGGUGGACGGUCCCACUAGGGCUGCGACACGGACCCGACUCCUACGGGAGGCAGCAGUGAGGAAUAUUGCACAGUGGGAGCCAGCCUGAUGCAGCGACGCCGCGUGAGGGAUGGAGGCCUUCGGGUUGUGAACCUCUUUCGCCAGUGAAGCAGGCCUGCCUCGUUUGUGGGUGGGUUGACGGUAGCUGGAGAAGAAGCGCCGGCUAACUACGUG
rnacentral:rRNA from 1 species